CUCUUUUACGGCAGCCACUUCUCUGAUAAUGAGCGGUCAUGGCCGACCAAAGAAGAAUACUGUCAGUUAGAUCUUCUAUUGUUUACUGAUUCAUUGUGUGUCUGAAAAUUAGUGUAGUCACGUUGUGCAAUUGUUGUCUAUAAUGGCAUGACAAACCGUUUUAGUGAUAAAUGUUUUGAGUUGAUCAAACGAGCUGGUUUCUUUGAGUGGUUUUAGUGUUUGUUGUUGUGCAGUUUCCGUGUUUAUAGAGGUACAAAUUUUGAUUGUUGAACGAAAUUUUAAGAUGGUGAUGAUGUGAAUGCGUCGACAGUCACACGGGUGCUGCGUUUUUGUGAGGAUUCGCGAAUCGGGUGCGGUCGUCAAUCCUCGACGCGCGCCCGACUCGCAUCAAACCGCACCAUGGAAUGUUGUUGUUGUUGUUGUUUUUUUUUUGUGUAAAAAUCGAUUUAGGGCAGACAUCGUGCCUUUCCCGCUGCUCUGUCUCCGACGUCUCCGCCGCUGCUUAAUCUCCUCCACCGUCCUCUCCGUCUUCUACCUCCACCGGCAGCAUCCUCUCCGUCCGGCUUCCGCUGCUCUCUCUCCUCCACCGGCGGCAUCUGCUCUCUCUCCUCCACCAGCGGCAUCUGCUCUCUCUCCUCCACCAGCGGCCGCUGCUCUCUCUCUCUAAAAUUAGAUGGCUUUUGAGAGAGAGGGAGAGAUAGAGAGCGGUUCGGAGAUCAAUUUUGCUAUUUAACGUCUUAGCCAGCAUUAAUUGCAAUCACACAGUGCCCUGUUAGAUCUCUCUUUCUCUCGACAGCAAAGCCAAUGUCAAAUUAUAACUUGUAAAGUACACAGCAUGAAUUGUACUUGUAACUUGUAGGGUUCUUGGAUUGGAAUAUAUGGAGUUAACUGUCCUCAAUGGAUAAUAGCAACGGAGGUCGGUCACUACCCUGUUUUUCCUAUGUUAUUUGUCCUGGUUUUCAGUAUAAAAAACUAGCUGGCCUGCAGCUAUGGUGUUUUCUGAAAGAAUUAUUGGUGAUGACAUCUCGAUCACGUGCAGGCUUGCAAUGGCCACAGUUUAGUUUGUGUUCCUCUUUAUGAUACAUUAGGUAAUAUUCUCUUUACAUGAUCAGAAAAAUGACUUUUCUUCUAUAGUUAUUAGAUAAAUCAUUGGAGUCGGUGUUGGCUGAAUCAUUUGUCAGCAGCCUUAUAUAUUGUGUGCUGUAUAAACUAACAUGAAAAAAGGCAUAUGAUUUUUAUAAACUUGACAACUGUGAUCAUCAUAUAUUUUAUUUAAGGCACAUCUGUUGAAGUUUGUCAGGUUUUGGAAUUCAAGCAUGUAAAAGCGUUUCUAUAGAAACAGCUCGAGAGUUGAAGACGUUGCAUGAUCAUGCUGAUGCAAUCCACAACAACAAGAAAACAAGUAUUAUUAUGACAAAUACUGGCAUGCCUCCUAAGGUUCUGACAGAAAAAGAAAGACUAUAAAGACAUGUAUUGAUUCUUAUGGAAGAGCAGAAUUAGAUAAAAUGAUUGCUAAGUUUUUCUAUUCUAGCUGCAUUCCUUUCAAUGUAGUUAGAAAUCCAUAUUGGAAGAAGUGUAUUACUAUGCUUGCAAACGGCAAAUUAUCAGGAUAUAUACCUCCCAGUUCAGAAAGGUUACAAACGUCACUUCUUACGGAUGUAAAAAGCGAGGUUGAGCAAAGUUUAGAAAGAAAAAAGUUUAAAUGGAACACGACCGGGGUAUCAAUUGUUUCUGGUGGGUGGACAGACAUUCAAAGACGUCCACUAAUUAAUUUUAUUGCCAUUGCACGUAAUGAACCAAUAUUUUUGAAGGCAGUUGAUGCAUCUGGAGAAUAUCAAGAUGUUGAAUAUUUGAAGCAAUUAUUUAUAGAAGCCAUCAAGGAGGUUGGUCCUGAUAAAGUGGUGCAGCUCAUUACAGACAAUGUUGCUGUAUGCAAAAGUGCUGGACUUAGUUUAAGCAAAUUUUCUGGUAAAAUUAGUCUCCAGUAUGCUGGUUGCAUGCAGAAAUCCCUCAGGAAAGACCUAUUACCAAAUUCUUUCAGUGAACGAUGAUGCAAGUUAUGAUGAAAUAAGAACUAGCUAUAGAUCUUCGCUUCUGAUUUUUCAUCCAGAUAAAAUACAUGGGAAAUGUGGAAUCGGUGAUGAUGAAGUACAUGAAGAUUUUGUCAAAAUACAGAAGGCAUGGGAAGUCCUCAGUGAUUCUAAAUUACGUGCCCGUUAUGACCAUGAGCUGGAAUGUGCUAGGCAUGCUUCUGAGAUUGCAGAAGAUGUUGAUUUGGAAGAAAUGACGGCUGAAGAUAUUGAUGAAAGAACAGAAUUCUUUUAUCCCUGCAGAUGUGGAGAUUGCUUUUCAGUAACAUCUGAAGAACUUCAGGAAAUGGGUCUUCUUUCUGACGUGGGGAAGGAGGAAGGAAAGCUGUUGGAGGAUAUCAAAGCAGACAGAGCUUCAGUUCUUCUUCAUUGCGGCUCAUGUUCUCUGAAAAUCAAACUGAUGGUCCGGUUGUGCCCAUAAGAUGUUGUAUCUUGUUCAAUUUUGUUAGCAGAGGUUUGUGUAGGCAGGAAUUUUUUCUUCUCAUUUCUUGUGAGGAUUGUAUCGGCAUUGAUGAGAUAAAGCUUUUGUCUCUACGCUUCCAAAUUACAUGGAGUAAUAAUGAUGCCAUACGAUCUUAUGUUUU